UGAAAAUGGAAAAGGCUGUCAGAACGUGGGAUGCUGUGAAGCCAGGGCAGAAUAUAGGACAGAGUGGAAAUACUGCCUUUGCUGAAAUGAGAUGGAGCUCUGCCAGGCAGCAAAAAAAGGGAUUGUCAAAACAUCAGCGCACUCCCCCUCGGAGGCAUUCCUGGCGCGGGAGAGGAGGGUCUGCCCACUGCGGGGAGAUGGAGCCCUUCCCUCUCGCUGGGAGGCAGCGCUCGGAACUGGCCGGCAGCAGCAGGGAUGUAAUUAGCGCUGACACAGAACACAAGGAAUCAGCACUGCAAAGGAAGGAAGAUCCUGGGCAUGAUUCUGAGCCUUGUGGACUAGGCUUGGCUGUACAGGUCAGUGAAAUACUCUAUCUCUGCUGGAACCAACCUAGCUUCUCCCAGUGA
rnacentral:lncRNA from 1 species